UCCUACUUUUCUAAAGAUGUCCAGGUGCACAAGCCCACAGAGAACAUCUGUUCAUGGGAGUGUUUGGAAGGGAAACCGUGGCUGUGCAAUUGCAGUUGUUCGGCUAUUUCUGUAAAUGUUUCUAUUUGGGCUAAGUUAAGAGGAUGAAGUUGGAGCUUUAUUUGUGAGGAAUCAGCUAACUUAGGGAAAAGAAGAGAGUAGCAUCCAUGACUGUCCAUGGUGAGGUCAUAAAGUCCCCAAGAUUCUCCAUCAAGCAGUCUCUCUACUGAUGAGCUGCAUGGAAACUAUUAUGGUCAGAGUAUAUGUGUGCCCUGAACACAAACUCCUUUUGACUCUUCAGAUAUAGAAGGGAUCAGAUCUACUCAGGACUGAAAACACACAAUUCUAAUGGGCUCCAUUCUGCUAGCUGAAUCAGCUGCUCUCUGCAUGUGAAGUAUUCUGGGAAAGCACUGGGCUGGGAUUCUAGUUAGUGGUCAAAAAAUGUCUGCUGGAGCCUAAGGAGUGUCCAAUGGCAUAAUCUGGACAAACUAAGAAACUGGCAGCCAAAAGAAAAUCCCUGGCCUAUUGGAUAAGUCAACUUUGCUGCUGUUUACAGUACUAAAACAAACCAAGAAAGUGAAGCAGUAACAUUUACCUUCCUGAAAAUGAGAAGUUAUCUGCUCAAAUUGGUCACUGCACUCAUACAAUGACAGCAUCCCAGGGAGCAACAUUAUAUAAUGGCACAUCAAAAACAAAAGUGAAUUCAAAAGUUAAAUGGCAAAAAAAAUCUGACACAUCUAUUAAUAAAGCAAUGAGCUGCUACAGGGCAUGAAUUAAUGACAAAUACCUCAGAUGCAAUUUGAAGGCAGAGAAGUUCAAAGGACUUGUGAUUUCAUUAACCCAAGGGCUCAUUACUGUAUAACCGACUCAUGUGAAGAAUCCUGCACCUUGUUGAGAUCAAUCAAUGGAGGUGGAAAAAUUUUCCUCUGGUCUCCCUUUCCAGCAGGGGUCAGUUUCUUCCUCUGCAAGUCUUGCAGAUUAUUUCUCCUCCAUGACUCACCACAGGUGCUCAACAUUCCCUAUGUUUCCAACAAGCUGGGAGCAGAAGCAUCCAUCAGAAGAGAUCAAAUUCAAAAGGUUUCUCUCUUUGAGGGGACUAUCGUAGCCACUAUACAAGACCUAGCAAAUAUCUGGCCUUUGACCAUUCUCUGAACAUUUUUUGGCAAAAUGUUCAUAACAUUUAUGAAGCCCUGUAGGAUAUACGAAGAUGGCUCAGAUGGGCUAAUGCUGAAGCCAGUGUUUAACCACGGACAUCUGAUGUGUGCAGAAAAUCCCUCUAAAUGCUCUCUACCUUCUUGUGUGUCAUUUCUGCCGAGAGUACGAUUAUUCCAAGCUAAUGUAAAAAUUGCAGCUUUCACCGCCUAAUGCCAUGAGGUACUCAUUAUCAAUUUGGUUAGUGAGUUACUGCGUUGUUUUAAAUUACAAGAUAUCUGGCACAGAGUGGACCCCUUUGAUUUAUGAUAAUUAUCUCUCACUGCUGAGCCGAUUAGAAAAGCAUGAUCUUACUGGGCACACACAAUGCUUUCCAAACCUCUUCUCUCCUCUCCUCUGUAUGCCUUUGGGAAGGAGGAAGUCCUUUUGUUCUAGGCCUGUUUUCUCUCCUGUCAUGUGCCUUCCCUGCCUGUCACAGGGAUGGAGAGCAGCU